UGCGGCGUGGCCUAAUACAUGCAAGUCGAACGCACGAAGUUGAAAAGCUUGCUUUUCGACCAAGUGAGUGGCGGACGGGUGAGUAACACGUGGGUAACCUGCCCAUAAGAGGGGGAUAACAUUCGGAAACGGAUGCUAAUACCGCAUAUUUCAAGUGACCGCAUGGUCGCUUGAUGAAAGGUGGCUUCGGCUACCACUUAUGGAUGGACCCGCGGUGCAUUAGUUAGUUGGUGAGGUAAUGGCUCACCAAGACCAUGAUGCAUAGCCGACCUGAGAGGGUGAUCGGCCACACUGGGACUGAGACACGGCCCAGACUCCUACGGGAGGCAGCAGUAGGGAAUCUUCCGCAAUGGACGAAAGUCUGACGGAGCAAUGCCGCGUGAGUGAAGAAGGUUUUCGGAUCGUAAAACUCUGUUGUUAGAGAAGAACAAGGAUGAGAGUAACUGCUCAUCCCCUGACGGUAUCUAACCAGAAAGCCACGGCUAACUACGUGCCAGCAGCCGCGGUAAUACGUAGGUGGCAAGCGUUGUCCGGAUUUAUUGGGCGUAAAGCGAGCGCAGGCGGUUCUUUAAGUCUGAUGUGAAAGCCCCCGGCUCAACCGGGGAGGGUCAUUGGAAACUGGAGAACUUGAGUGCAGAAGAGGAGAGUGGAAUUCCAUGUGUAGCGGUGAAAUGGCGUAGAUA
rnacentral:rRNA from 1 species